rnacentral:rRNA from 1 species
AGCGAACGCUGGCGGCAGGCCUAACACAUGCAAGUCGAACGAACUCUUCGGAGUUAGUGGCGGACGGGUGAGUAACACGUGGGAACGUGCCUUUAGGUUCGGAAUAACUCAGGGAAACUUGUGCUAAUACCGAAUGUGCCCUUCGGGGGAAAGAUUUAUCGCCUUUAGAGCGGCCCGCGUCUGAUUAGCUAGUUGGUAGUGUAAUGGACUACCAAGGCUACGAUCAGUAGCUGGUCUGAGAGGAUGAUCAGCCACAUUGGGACUGAGACACGGCCCAAACUCCUACGGGAGGCAGCAGUGGGGAAUCUUGCGCAAUGGGCGAAAGCCUGACGCAGCCAUGCCGCGUGAAUGAUGAGGGUCUUAGGAUUGUAAAAUUCUUUCACCGGGGAAGAUAAUGACGGUACCCGGAGAAGAAGCCCCGGCUAACUUCGUGCCAGCCGCCGCCGUAACAC